rnacentral:lncRNA from 1 species
GAGCUGUGAAACUGUAGGCUGUGUAAAACAUACCUGUAAUGCCCCUAAAGGUUUGUGAGUGUGUUUAUAUCCAAAUUGCUCGUAACAAAAUAAUGCGUUCACUAGUUCAAAUGUAAACCACUACUUUAGAAAGAAAAAAAUAAAUUUUAUAUGUUUUUCAUCCAUUAAAGUGAUUGGUCCAUAUAAAUAGAACUAUAUCCAUCAAAAGUUCUAUACAAGGAUGCCAUCCCUCAACAUUACUCUACCCCUCUCGCACUAACAAAGCAUCAGCUAUCCUAGUACGAAUGAUAUUCAUGGUAUCCUCAUUCUCCACAUCGUCACUCUCAUCUCCUUGUGUUUGUCUCAUACCACAUGUAUGUUGUACCAAUUAAUCCUCAUCAUCAUCACAUCUCUUGAACUCCUUAUCACACAAAUUGCUGUCACGAAUAACAUUAUGCAAUGCAAGAUAAGCCAUAAUGAUAUGUUUCUGAGUACGAGGUGAGAAACUUGGCAUGUCCUUCAAAAUAUGCCACUUCUGCUUUAAGACUCCAAAAGACCUUUCAAUGACAUUACGAAUAGAUGAAUGCAAGAAAUUGAACAUCUCGUACUUUCCUUGAGGAGGCCCCGAACGAUGCUGAAAUUCUGGUAUAU